CGAACUUCCGUUAAUUGAUUAUGACGUACUUGUACUGAUUGAGAUUUUAACACGAAGUGAGUGGCGAACGGGUGAGUAACACGUGGGUAACCUGCCCAGAAGUAGGGGAUAACACCUGGAAACAGAUGCUAAUACCGUAUAACAGAGAAAACCGCAUGGUUUUCUUUUAAAAGAUGGCUCUGCUAUCACUUCUGGAUGGACCCGCGGCGUAUUAGCUAGUUGGUGAGGUAAAGGCUCACCAAGGCAGUGAUACGUAGCCGACCUGAGAGGGUAAUCGGCCACAUUGGGACUGAGACACGGCCCAGACUCCUACGGGAGGCAGCAGUAGGGAAUCUUCCACAAUGGACGCAAGUCUGAUGGAGCAACGCCGCGUGAGUGAAGAAGGGUUUCGGCUCGUAAAGCUCUGUUGUUAAAGAAGAACGUGGGUAAGAGUAACUGUUUACCCAGUGACGGUAUUUAACCAGAAAGCCACGGCUAACUACGUGCCAGCAGCCGCGGUAAUACGUAGGUGGCAAGCGUUAUCCGGAUUUAUUGGGCGUAAAGCGAGCGCAGGCGGUCUUUUAAGUCUAAUGUGAAAGCCUUCGGCUCAACCGAAGAAGUGCAUUGGAAACUGGGAGACUUGAGUGCAGAAGAGGACAGUGGAACUCCAUGUGUAGCGGUGAAAUGCGUAGAUAUAUGGAAGAACACCAGUGGCGAAGGCGGCUGUCUGGUCUGCAACUGACGCUGAGGCUCGAAAGCAUGGGUAGCGAACAGGAUUAGAUACCCUGGUAGUCCAUGCCGUAAACGAUGAUUACUAAGUGUUGGAGGGUUUCCGCCCUUCAGUGCUGCAGCUAACGCAUUAAGUAAUCCGCCUGGGGAGUACGACCGCAAGGUUGAAACUCAAAAGAAUUGACGGGGGCCCGCACAAGCGGUGGAGCAUGUGGUUUAAUUCGAAGCUACGCGAAGAACCUUACCAGGUCUUGACAUCUUCUGACAGUCUAAGAGAUUAGAGGUUCCCUUCGGGGACAGAAUGACAGGUGGUGCAUGGUUGUCGUCAGCUCGUGUCGUGAGAUGUUGGGUUAAGUCCCGCAACGAGCGCAACCCUUAUUACUAGUUGCCAGCAUUAAGUUGGGCACUCUAGUGAGACUGCCGGUGACAAACCGGAGGAAGGUGGGGACGACGUCAAAUCAUCAUGCCCCUUAUGACCUGGGCUACACACGUGCUACAAUGGAUGGUACAACGAGUCGCGAGACCGCGAGGUUAAGCUAAUCUCUUAAAACCAUUCUCAGUUCGGACUGUAGGCUGCAACUCGCCUACACGAAGUCGGAAUCGCUAGUAAUCGCGGAUCAGCAUGCCGCGGUGAAUACGUUCCCGGGCCUUGUACACACCGCCCGUCACACCAUGAGAGUUUGUAACACCCAAAGCCGGUGGGGUA
rnacentral:rRNA from 1 species